GAUUCUGGAAUUAAGCAACAAUCCUGUCACAUUCCAAAAACUGUUAAUAUUAUUAGUAAUACAGGUGUUCAAAUCACAUCAUGGGAAACAUUUUCCAAAGCACCAAAUCUUUUUUGCUUCCUUUUUUGGAUAAGCAAAGAAUUUGUAGAUUCAAAGUGAUAGAAGUGGGAAUGAAGCAAAAUAUAUCACUGAAAAAUAGAUUUUUAAGGGACUCAUUCAGAGAUUAUUUAGCCCAACUUAUGAAAAUUAGCUCAUACACACAGUACUUAUUAGCUAAUUUGAAUUUAUAAGCAUUUUAAAUUUUAAAUAGUUAUGUGUUUAGUUAAAAUACUUAUAAGUACCUGAAAAACAGUUAACGUGUUUGACAAAAAGUAACUUAUAAGCACUAUCAUUAUUAAGACAACUAAAAAGGAUAAUAGUUAUUUUAAAAUUAAAUGAGAAUAUAAUUAUAUGGUGAGAUUUUAAAAUUAAAUGAGGGUAACAUAUUAAAUUACUUGGUCCAACCAACUUAUAAGCAUCACAAUAAAAAACUCCUCUCCCUAGCA
rnacentral:misc_RNA from 1 species